AGCUCAGUUGGUUAGAGCAGCUGACUCUUAAUCAGCGGGUCCGGGGUUCGAGUCCCUGGCGGC
rnacentral:tRNA from 1 species